AACGAACGCUGGCGGCAGGCCUAACACAUGCAAGUCGAACGCCCCGCAAGGGGAGUGGCAGACGGGUGAGUAACGCGUGGGAACCUACCUUUCGGUGCGGAAUAACUUCGGGAAACCAAAGCUAAUACCGCAUACGCCCUACGGGGGAAAGAUUUAUCGCAGAUAGAUGGGCCCGCGUCGGAUUAGCUAGUGGGAGAGGUAACGGCUCACAAAGGCUACGAUCCGUAGCUGGUCUGAGAGGAUGAUCAGCCACACUGGGACUGUGACACGGCCCAGACUACUACGGGAGGCAGCAGUGGGGAAUAUUGGACAAUGGGCGCAAGCCUGAUCCAGCCAUGCCGCGUGAGUGAAGAAGGCCUUAGGGUUGUAAAGCUCUUUUAGUGGGGACGAUAAUGACGGUACCCACAGAAUAAGCCCCGGCUAACUUCGUGCCAGCCGCCGCAGUAA
rnacentral:rRNA from 1 species